rnacentral:lncRNA from 1 species
GGUGUCAACGAGCCGAAUACGAACUGACUCGUUAAAGUAUCGAGUUCAAAAAUUCAACUCAUGUUCGAUUUGUUUAUUAACGAGUUGAACACGAGUGGGCUCACGAACAAUAAGUAAAAAGAAUUAGAAAAGAUAUGUAUAGAAAAUAAAUUUUUGAGAUCCAACUCAUUAGACUUUAAUUCAACGGUUGAAACUUUACAUAUAAAUAUACUUUUUUUUAUAACUGAGUUGUAUUUUGUAUGUAGUUUGGACUAAAAGUUAAAUAAUAAAAAUAUAUAUUUUAUACAUAUAAUUAUUUAUUCAUAUAUAUAAAUAUAAAAUAUAUAAAUAUAAAUUAUAUAUAUUUCAUGUUGUUAUCGAGCCAAAUAAGAGCGAGCUGACUCCAACCCGUGUCCAACUUGUUUAUUGAACGAGCUGAAAAAAUCAAUUCGUGUUUAGUUCGUUUACUAAAUGAUUCGAUCUUGAGCAAAACACGAGCUAGCUCGUGAACAAUGAGCUGGAUUGCCACUCCUGCAUAUAUCAUAUUAAGCUGAUCAAAUUUAAUAAUUUUUUU